ACGAUUUAAAAAAUAUAUUUCAAUAUGUAUUAUCUGCAUAGGUAAUUGAAAUAUUUUGGGUACAUCUAUGGAGAUACACUUUCCUGGAAUUGUGUGAUGUUUUUAGGUUUGAACAAGAGUACAUUUGAACAACCCAGUUGCAAUUCUGAUCUUGAAAACAGAAAUGUGUGAUCAGAUUAAGUACAUCUAACAGUUCUAAAAGUCUAACAGUUAAAAAUAUUAUCAGUACAAUGUUCUGAGAUUUUCUUUCCAGAGUGAAACACUAAUAUAAUACAACUUUAAAUAAUAACAUACACAGAUUGUCUAUUAUAGAGCAAAGGUGUAUUAGCAAGGAAAACUAAUGCAGUUGCAGGUCACAUUUUUUAAAGAUAAAAUUCAAAAUAAGCUCAAGGACUGGAAUCAGGAUUCUUAAACAUAUUGUAUAUCAUAGAAGAAGAAUUAAAAGCAUUUAAUAAAUUGAUCAGAUUUUAGAGGACUAAACCUGUGUAUUACAUUUUUUUAAAGUGAUGUUGC